GCGACAGGCCUAACACAUGCAAGUCGAGGGGCAGCACAAGGAGCAAUCUGAGGUGGCGACCGGCGCACGGGUGAGUAACACGUAUGCAACCUGCCUGUAAGCGGGGAAUAACCCGUUGAAAGACGGACUAAUACCGCAUAAUACUAAAUUACUGCAUGGUAAAUUUAUUUAAACAUUUAUGGCUUACAGAUGGGCAUGCGCAUGAUUAGCUAGUUGGAGAGGUAACGGCUCCCCAAGGCAACGAUCAUUAGGGGUUCUGAGAGGAAGGUCCCCCACACUGGUACUGAGACACGGACCAGACUCCUACGGGAGGCAGCAGUGAGGAAUAUUGGUCAAUGGACGAGAGUCUGAACCAGCCAAGUCGCGUGCAGGAAGAAUGUCCUAUUGGAUUGUAAACUGCUUUUGCAGGGGAAUAAAGUGCAUCACGUGUGAUGUUUUGUAAUGUACUCUGCGAAUAAGGAUCGGCUAACUCCGUGCCAGCAGCAGC
rnacentral:rRNA from 1 species